rnacentral:rRNA from 1 species
AAAUUGAAGAGUUUGAUCAUGGCUCAGAUUGAACGCUGGCGGCAGGCCUAACACAUGCAAGUCGAACGGUAACAGGAAACAGCUUGCUGUUUCGCUGACGAGUGGCGGACGGGUGAGUAAUGUCUGGGAAACUGCCUGAUGGAGGGGGAUAACUACUGGAAACGGUAGCUAAUACCGCAUAAUGUCGCAAGACUAAAGAGGGGGACCUUCGGGCCUCUUGCCAUCGGAUGUGCCCAGAUGGGAUUAGCUAGUAGGUGGGGUAACGGCUCACCUAGGCGACGAUCCCUAGCUGGUCUGAGAGGAUGACCAGCCACACUGGAACUGAGACACGGUCCAGACUCCUACGGGAGGCAGCAGUGGGGAAUAUUGCACAAUGGGCGCAAGCCUGAUGCAGCCAUGCCGCGUGUAUGAAGAAGGCCUUCGGGUUGUAAAGUACUUUCAGCGGGGAGGAAGGGAGUAAAGUUAAUACCUUUACUCAUUGACGUUACCCGCAGAAGAAGCACCGGCUAACUCCGUGCCAGCAGCCGCG